rnacentral:rRNA from 1 species
AGCAGCCGCGGUAAUUCCAGCUCCAAUAGCGUAUAUUAAAGUUGUUGCAGUUAAAAAGCUCGUAGUUGAAUUUCGGGAUCAAUAUAUCGGUCAUGCUUAGGUAUGUACUGGUAUUAUUGAUUUCUCCCUUCUGAAGAACCAUGAUGUCAUUAAUUUGAUGUCGUGGGGAAUCAGGACUGUUACUUUGAAAAAAUUGAGUGUUUAAAGCAGGCAUACGCUUGAAUACAUUAGCAUGGAAUAAUGAAAUAGGACGUUUGAUUCUAUUUUGUUGGUUUCUAGGAUCGACGUAAUGAUUAAUAGGGAUAGUUGGGGGCAUUUAGUAUUCAAUUGUCAGAGGUGAAAUUCUUGGAUUUAUUGAAGACUAACUACU